UUCCCUAGUUUUUUUUUCUCUCAUUGGAUUGAAUCUGCAAAGAAAUCUACUGUGUUUUCUUUUUUAAUGGAUUUAAAAAACCCUAGUGUUUUGAACAUUUUACUGCAGUGGGGGUAGUCCAUUUUGUGUGUUGUUUGGUUCAAGAAAUAUGAUUUGAUGUGAUGUUUUUGGGUAGAAAUGUAGAUUAUGUACGGUAAUAAUGAUAAUUUGUUUUCCAGAAUUGGAAAUUUUCUCCGUAUUGCAUUCAGUUUUUGCAGAUAGGCAUGGAUUCAUUAAGGAUUGGUCAACUCAUGAAUGAAGAGUCUGUUUUGAUAAAUCUAAUCUUGCAGUUGCAGAUUUUGCUCAAGGUACCUUAGCUGAAUAUACAAAGCAUAUGGAAAUGAUCUCUGAAGUUCGUAAUAUAUUGUUUAACAAGGAUCGGAUUACCGGCAUCAAAUGAAGUCGCUACUUGGAAAGCUAUAGCAAAAGAACAGUGGAAACAUUAGAUUUUAUAUUGUAUGUAGUAAUCUCUGGCAACUUUUUUGAGGAGAUGGAGAAGGAAAAUCUGUGUUUAUCCAGAAUAGUGUCAAGCUAGUGUGGUGAGUUUAUUUUUUGGAAGAGAUGCGAUAGUUAUAAGGCUGUAGCGGGAGACGGAGCAAGAUAAAUAAAUAGACGGGGAGAUUGCUAAGACUUGGAUAUGUUGAAUCAAUUUCAGAAAUCAUCAGUCCACCAUGCUCGCCGGAAAUUUAACUAUGUGAUCGAAUAUUUGUAAUUUUCUUCAUGCACAUCUUAGUAAUGUGGUAACUUCCUUUCAAUAUAUCUUAGAUUUGGUUUCAACAAAAUAACUGCAUGGCAGUUUAACUUGGAUGUUUAAUCGAUACUCUUGAUGUUAUGUUA